rnacentral:tRNA from 1 species
UGGGAUAUCGCCAAGUGGUAAGGCUCCGGACUCUGAAUCCGGCAUCCGUAGGUUCGAAUCCUACUAUCCCAGCCA